rnacentral:pre_miRNA from 1 species
AUUAUACUUCCUCCGUUCGAAAAUAUUUAUCCUAAAGAUAAAUAUAUCUAGGCUUAUUUUAGUUAUAGAUAUAUUCAUUAUAUCUAUUUCUAGAACAAGUAUUUUCGGACGGAUGGAGUAUAUA